GUCUAUGACUAUACCAACCUAAACACAUCUGAUCUGGGAAGCUAAGCAGGGUUGGGCCUGGUUAGCACUUGGAAUGGGAGAAUGAAUGGAUGGCCUAGGGGUAGGUU
rnacentral:rRNA from 1 species